CAAUCGGUCAAUGUUCGAGUGGUGGGCAAAGAAUAUUGAUUGAUAAUUGUUCUUCUCUACCAGUCGUGGGACCACCGGCAUCUGCAGGGCUCUAGUCAAGGCUAUAUAGAUCAUCAGAAUACACCGACCAGCGGAUAUCAUUUGAUAUUGAACCACAAGGCCAGCAUCUUGGUACAGGUGGUCAGGAUGGUUCUAUUCAUAUAUAUGAUCUAAAAACUGGGCAAUGGGUAUCAAGCUUUCAAGCUGCAUUAUGUAUACUCUGGUCCACUAGA